GACGAACGCUGGCGGCGUGCUUAACACAUGCAAGUCGAGCGGUAAGGCCCCUUCGGGGGUACACGAGCGGCGAACGGGUGAGUAACACGUGGGUGACCUGCCCUCAGCUCUGGGAUAAGCCUGGGAAACUGGGUCUAAUACCGGAUAUGACUCCAUGACGCAUGUCGUGGGGUGGAAAGCCUUGUGCGGCUGGGGAUGGGCCCGCGGCCUAUCAGCUUGUUGGUGGGGUGAUGGCCUACCAAGGCGACGACGGGUAGCCGGCCUGAGAGGGCGACCGGCCACACUGGGACUGAGACACGGCCCAGACUCCUACGGGAGGCAGCAGUGGGGAAUCUUGCGCAAUGGGCGAAAGCCUGACGCAGCGACGCCGCGUGAGGGAUGACGG
rnacentral:rRNA from 1 species